AAAAUUAUAUGUUCAGAGUUCAUUUCUAGAGUUGGUUACUAGAGAAAAUUCCCUGAUCAGGUAGAGUAUCCCAAACCCGAGGAGAGCUGGAGCAGCCGCUCCUGGGAGUCACCCCAGGUCUAGCUGUUGCUUUUGCCACAACCUUUUUAUAUUGAUAAUGGUUCUUCUCUUCCUUUGGAAGAGCGAGAGGGAAAGGAUGCAGUCUGAGUGUU